rnacentral:rRNA from 1 species
UACAGAGGUCCCGAGCGUUGUUCGGAUUCAUUGGGCGUAAAGGGUGCGUAGGCGGUUUUUUAAGUUUGAUGUGAAAUCCCGGGGCUCAACCCUGGAAUUGCAUUGAAUACUGAAGAACUAGAGAUCUGGAGAGGAAACUGGAAUUUACGGUGUAGCAGUGAAAUGCGUAGAGAUCGUAAGGAACACCAGUGGCGAAGGCGAGUCUCUGGACAUUUCCUGACGCUGAGGCACGAAAGCCAGGGGAGCAAACGGG